rnacentral:rRNA from 1 species
AGAGUUUGAUCAUGGCUCAGGACGAACGCUGGCGGCGUGCCUAAUACAUGCAAGUCGAGCGGAUUGAUGGGAGCUUGCUCCCUGAUAUCAGCGGCGGACGGGUGAGUAACACGUGGGCAACCUGCCUAUAAGACUGGGAUAACUUCGGGAAACCGGAGCUAAUACCGGAUAAUCCCUUUCCUCUCAUGAGGAAAGGCUGAAAGAUGGUUUACGCUAUCACUUAUAGAUGGGCCCGCGGCGCAUUAGCUAGUUGGUGAGGUAACGGCUCACCAAGGCAACGAUGCGUAGCCGACCUGAGAGGGUGAUCGGCCACACUGGGACUGAGACACGGCCCAGACUCCUACGGGAGGCAGCAGUAGGGAAUCUUCCGCAAUGGACGAAAGUCUGACGGAGCAACGCCGCGUGAGUGAUGAAGGUUUUCGGAUCGUAAAACUCUGUUGUUAGGGAAGAACAAGUACGAGAGUAACUGCUCGUACCUUGACGGUACCUAACCAGAAAGCCACGGCUAACUACGUGCCAGCAGCCGCGGUA